GAACAAAGGGAGAGCCAGACCCAGGAGCUGGCAGGACCUCUGAGUGCUUAGAAACUAGCAGUUAAGGAUGGAGCCUGGGGAACAGGACAAUUUGCAAAUAUAGAGGUGCCCUUGGCCCAGCAAGUCAGAAGAACAGUCAGGAGGCAUUGGCUGCCAGCGGCAGGGUGGGGGCCGGGUCGCUGGAAGUAGAGCCCAUUUCUUCCUCUGCCAGGAAGCCCUUCCUACGCUUCUCACUGGCCAUUUCCAGGUCUUCAGGCUGUAGAUUCUGAAAUAUGAAUGAAGGGAUGUGAAAGUGAUGGGCUCUAUCCUUAUACCCAGCCCCAGUGGGAGCCUGGGCAGGGAGUGGGAGGAUGAGAAACGUCUUCAUUUUACACAACAAAGUGCUUCUCCAAGGUUCUCAGGCUCAUCUGGCUCAACUGCUCUUUCUCCAGUGAUAACUCAGGAGCCCCAUUCAACCCGCGGAGUGGCAGGUAUAGGGUGUCACCCCUCAGAGCCCUGAGGAUGAGGGUGAGCGUCCGGGCAGCAGCCAAGCCCCCAAGGCUGGCCCACUGACACCGUGUGUUCUUCUAACAGCUUUCUUUGUUGACUUUAGUUCAUCAUUACAAUGGCCACAUGAGGAGAAAUAGAGAAGUGUGCUUUCCGUCUGGUCAUCAAGGCAGGCAAGGCCUUAUGGACUCUGUCCGUCAACACUGAUAAUCUGUGACACCAGGAGGCGAGGAGGAUCUCCAGCUGUUCCACCUACGCUGGAUCCUAAGCGCCAUCACCCUCUCAGGAAGCUAAGGAAGCCCAAACAGAGCAAGAGGAGUGCCUUGGACAAAUAAUCUUCUACUCACAUGGAGUUUUAGAAAUUGAGUAUCCAUGUAUUUUGAACUUCUAGAGACCUUGAUUUUCUGGGUUUCUUCCUUGCAGCACAGAAAAUACAUGUUUUGAAUAGUUAAGUUGUCAUAGUUUCUCUAGAAAAGCCUUCAUCAAAAAGAGCCAAAUU